CGAUAACGAACGAGACCUUAACCUGCUAAAUAGCCCGUAUUGCUUUGGCAGUACGCUGGCUUCUUAGAGGGACUAUCGGCGCAAGCCGAUGGAAGUUUGAGGCAAUAACAGGUCUGUGAUGCCCUUAGAUGUCCUGGGCUGCACGCGCGUUACACUGACGGAACCAGCGAGUACUUCCUUGUCCGAAAGGUCCGGGUAAUCUUGUUAAACUCCGUCGUGCUGGGGAUAGAGCAUUGCAAUUAUUGCUCUUCAACGAGGAAUCCCUAGUAAGCGCAAGUCAUCAGCUUGCGUUGAUUACGUCCCUGCCCUUUGUACACACCGCCCGUCGCUACUACCGAUUGAAGGGCU
rnacentral:rRNA from 1 species